UCUGUGCUUAGAGAUACCUGGGAUGUGUUUGACAGAGGUGCACUGAGCUUGGCAAUGUCCCCUGACUUCCAACAUAAGAACAGCAAAUAUUUCAGGCUCUGAUCUUUCUACAAAGAUUAACAAAUUAUCUCUCUGCUAUGAUUUUUUGCAGCUAGGAAAACUUGUGAUUGUGGUGCCCUCAUCAGAAUGCAUGCAGCUCUGCACUGACACUGCUGUGUAGUGGCUGGAAAAAAUCUGAUUUCUGAAUGAUGAAAAGGAGGACCUCAGAAUAACAAUCAAGUCCAAUAUUUUGGUGUGGUGUGUCGGGCAGCCAAAAUAGGAGAAGCCAGCUCUGCAGCAUGUGUUCCACUGGAGACCUCCAAUGCAGCAGCAGAAUUUGGGAUUCUAUCAUCAUUCUGGUUAUGGAUUCUCCACAUCCUCCCUAAUAGUUUGCUCAGAUGUACUCAGCGUGGGGCCCUCCCACUCAGGGACAAUGAUGAGGACAAAGGUGACUAAAUUCUUGACAGGAUACACCAUUCAUGUCCUCUUAAGGACAUCCAGGGUUUAUGUUUGAAUAACAUGACGUGAAUAUAGUGAAUAUACAACCACACCUCAAGCCACAGCCCACCAUUAUCAUCCCCAUCCCCAAACUGCUCAAGUUUGUCUCUCUCCCUUUCUCCAACAAACCCUUUUCCUUACCCCAUUUUGCCUCUUAGAGAUUUUUGCCUUUGAUGUGAGAUUUGAAGCAAAACCCAAAAAGGUGUUUGUUAGUACUUUUUAAAGUGGGAAUCAGAAUUUUACUGGACUUUAUAACAUAUAUGAAUGAAGAUCUGAAAUACAAAUACUGUUAAAGUAAAAUCACACAGUUCAUAAAAAGAUAGCGAUGGGAAAGCAAAUUCUCUGUGCAGAAUGGCAAGGAGCUAGAGAAAUCCCCAAGCCAAAUUUUUUCACUCGUUUGGAAAAGUACUGACACAGAUAUACAAAAAAAACUUCUAUAGUAAAUACAUUUAUAAAAAAAGUUUAUGUUAGGGUGAAGUAGUCUCCCAAAGAAGAAAAGAGUUAUGUCCUCUAAUAGAAAACUGAAAUUACACGAAAAGUCAGAAGCUACCCUUAGACAGGUAAGUGUAAUGUAAUCCUCUGGGGGAGAUUUCAGAGAAAAUAAGAUUACACUGUCCUCAUCUCAUGUUGUGCUGCAUCUUCCCUUCUGUAUGUUCUAUAAAGCAUUUAAUAGGAAAUUAAAUUAAACCACAGGAUUAAUCUUUAUUUGUUCUGGAGUCACAUUUUUCCUUCAUAUGUUCUCUCACUGUGUUCCUAGAUUCUAGCCUUACCUGGCAUAGCAAUUCACUCCUUUGAAUGUAUGCACCAAAGACAGAGCAAAUCUUGCAAUACUGAAUUUUGCUACUCCCAGACCUGGGAGGAGAAGUUGGCUGGGGCUGAGCAGCUCCCCCUACAAGGAGGGAAGAGGAAGGUGGUGGGAAAAUGUGUCAAGCUGGGCUUGCUGCUGCUGCUCACUCCCAGGAGACAGGGAAAUAAAGGAUGGUGUCUGAUACCUGGUGCUGGAGGGAGCUGCUCUUCCCCCUCUCCCCAGCACUACACACCAGCCCACUCACCAGGAGAGAUAAAACAGCUUUGUAAAGCUGCAGUUAUCAGAAACCAUGGCAGGGAAGAUGUUUGGGGUUUUUUUUCUCAGUCUGAUUUUCUAAGCAGAUGCCCACAUUUCCCAUGGGCAAAUCAAUCAUCAAUAGGAACAAGUUAAUAUCCUGUACAGCUGAAGUGUGAUUUCUGACUCUGCCUGUUAGAGAGAAGAACAAGGCAGUGUUGUUUUUCAGAACAACAUUGACAGAAAUGGCUGUGGGCAGCCUCUCAAGCUACCAUUGAUUUAUCUCAAGUAUAAUAUAUUUCUGGCAAGACAACUCUCCAUUUGAGCUGAUUUAACCUUCUUUAUGUCAAGGUUUAUUGGUAUUAGUCCAAUCUGUUGAGAGUUUCCUCUUGGGAAACUCAUCAGGUAUUUCUAUAAAAACAGCAAAUCAUUGUUUUGUUCCAUUUGGAACAUUUUGUACUGUGGAAGCCCUGCCUAGAUCUUGUUCCUGCUGCACCUCGUUUUUAGCAACUGGCUCCCAAAAUGUCAAGACACUUUCUCCUUUCUUGGCUGUGCAAAUUAUAUAUAUUUUAAAUUUUUUCCAUUUUUCUCCGUAUUUUUUUUUUUACUUUUUACUGUUUUUAUCUUAUUAGACCUUAAGGUCUAGUACCUGAGUUUGAGAUUUGUUUAUGUUUGAAGAAAGGGGUGUAAGGAUUAACAGAGAUAAGAUAAAAAGCUUAUUGGUGUUUGCUCUUGAACACAGGCACAUGACUCUGACUGCAGAAGCUGGUAACCAGGAAUGGUCACAAGGGCCCUAUUUGGUGGACAAACUUAUGCCCAGUGUUGAUGGUUCAAUGCUGUCACUGAAAUAAAACACCACUACAUAUUUUUCAGUUCCACCCCACUCUUAAAACUUCAGUGGAUUUUAGUAGUCAUGGCCACUGUCACUGUCAUGGCUGGUGUCCAUAGCCAUUCUUUCAUGGCUGGCAUCCACCCACACUUUCAGAAAUGUUUAAAAGUCUUUAUAAUUGUUGAAUACACUUUACAUACUGACCUUGAUUCUUGGAGGCUGUAAACACAGUCAAGGGCUUCAAUUUCUCACAGAUGAUUAUCUGGUGGUUGCCUUGGUGGUGAUUCUUUUUAUCAGUGAAUGCUUCUUAUAAUUUUUUUUUUUGCCUGUUAUGCACAACUGUUAGAGAUUUCUCUCUAAAGAGGAAUGUAUUGGGGGAAUUUCCUUUAAUAGACUAAACAGCAUCUCUGGCUAUUCCUUCUUAUUAGUAUUUUCUAGUUGACAUAGUGAAUAUUUUUAUGUACUUCCUGAGAUGCUUUAUGAAAGUCAUAAUUUCAAAUUCUUCUUGUCUUAAUUUUUCAUACUACUGCUUCACCUAAGCAGUGGCUACAUCUUCUGCUAGCAAUAUAAUUUCAUGUUUAGGUAUUUAAGUAUUUUUGAGAGAGGAUGCAUGGCUUUUAGAGAAACACAGUUGCCCCAGUUUUUUUAUUUUGAGGAACUGCUGUAUUACAAACACUAUAAAAAUUACAAAAGAAAUUAAUGAACUCUGUUUAAAUUAUGUAUAUGUAUAAUUUCUAGCAAGCUUUGAUGUUCUAAUUGUAUAGAAACUAGAGUUAAACUAAUACAGGCUAAUACCUAUUAUCAGCUCACUUCUGAUUUAUUUGCAUAGAUUUGUACCAUGAAAUCCAGUGAAGUAAUGAGAAGAUCCUGGAAAACAUAGAUGCUUUCUGUGGGAAUUUAAUUUCUUAUCGAUAUGCUUUUUGAAUGAAAAAUGUAUGUUUGUGUUUGUCUUCAAAAUAAUUCUGUAACUUGGAUGAUAUUGUAAAUAUUGACAGGCAGGCUUGUUAAACUGCCUUCUUUUGAAUACAUUGUUUAGGAACAUUUUAAUUUUUAAGUUUCAGGUAACAAUUCUUGUAUUUAGUCUUUUAAUUCUCACCUUACUGAAGUUCUGAAACCUUCUUUAGGAGUAACAGAUAUUGGAGAGUGUAAGGUUAUACUUUUUUCUCCUUUAAAGUUACCAGUUUAAAAUGAAUGACUUUUCAUUACUGUUCCUGUGAAUUUUUCUUCUGCUGUGUUGUAUCAGCAAUGUAGAUGCUAUGAUUUCAUGAAAAAAGAAAGAAAGCCCCCAAAAAAACCAUUUCAAAACACCAAACCCCCAAACCUAAUUCCAGAUGUAAAGAAACUUCCCAGUUUUGGUGGUACCUGUAUGGGAUGUUGACCUUUCAGUUUACAGAAUGCUGCUCAGUGGAGCUGCUGCCCUCUGUAAAUGUGAUGAGAUGCAUGUGAUGCCUCCUUACACUCCCUCUGACUCAGCCUUUUGCUGUCCAGAGUCCUCUGCCCAGCAUAACCAGCAGCUUCUCUGUCCUCACUGAUUUUUUGUCAUUUGCACAACAUACCCUGCUAAAGACCCAAACCAAAUGGCUCAAAAGACAUUGAAAGAUUUGGUUUUCUCUUUAGAAGGUGGGAAUAUGGAACUUUUCCAGGGGGAAACAAAGCUUGGAGAAGGGGAUAUAUUACUGUUUUGGGGUUUUUAGAUGCUUUCUCAAGACUGAGACAGAGGCUGUAGUGGUUCUUAUGCUUUGUCAUUUCAUUGUAACCUUUGAAAGCAGUCGUAUACAAAAAAAACCCCAAAAAAUGAAAAAAAGAAUUCCUGUGACCUGUAACGAAAACAAAAAACAAAAAAAAAAUUCAAGUCAGGAAAGCAAAGUACAAAAGACAGAUCAGUGCCUUUCUAAAAUAAAAAAUGAGAGUCUGCUAUUCUA